UACGGAGGGGGCGAGCGUUAUUCGGAAUUAUUGGGCGUAAAGGGCGCGUAGGCGGCUGUGUAAGUCAAAGGUGAAAUCCCUCAGCUCAACUGAGGAACUGCCUUUGAAACUGCACAGCUUGAGGCCGGGAGGGGGUGGCGGAAUUCCCAGUGUAGCGGUGAAAUGCGUAGAUAUUGGGAGGAACACCAGUGGCGAAGGCGGCCACCUGGACCGGUUCUGACGCUGAUGCGCGAAAGCGUGGGUAGCAAACAGG
rnacentral:rRNA from 1 species